UCCCAAAAGUGGACCAAAUGAACAAACUUAUCUCGUAUUAAAAAAAAAACUAGACAAAAACUAUAUACAUAAAGAGAUAGGCUGGACUAGGACUCCAUAGACUCACCCUCAGUCUCUAAAGAUCCCCGUAGCUGGACCGAAGCAAUGUUGGUGGUUGGCGCUCGAAUCUACAUCAAGAAAACAUAUCCAGAGUGCAAUAUGAGUACCAAAACAAUGGGUACCAAGUAGGCAUCAUAGGCCGAGUGAACUUGUAAACUAAAGUCAAUAUGUAAAGCAAGAAAGUAAAAGCAACUAGAGGUCACAAGAAGAAAAGUGGAAACGUAACAGAAAUCCAAACUAUAAAGCACACGAGUCUAGAAAAGGACAAACACUAAAGUAUACAACUAACUAUAACCUAAUUGGACCCCAUAAGUCCACAAUUGAAAGUAAAUAACUCAAACAAACCCCAUAAGCCCGUUGGGUACAAAGAAGAGCUAAGGAAACUACUAGCUAAGUCAAGAGAUAUUCCAGGACAAUAACGGCCCUCUACGAACUCGAACCGCAGUAAAGGCAACCUGAAGAACCCAAUAGAAUCACCUAGUUAGGACUUGAACUCGACUAAUAGAAGUGACACCCAUACUUUAACCAUGGCUAAUAGGGCUACACACGGGCCUCGAACCCAGGAUGAUAAGCAUGCACACGAAGCUUGAACCACAACUAGUGAUCAAGAACACAUAUCUUAAACUGUGAAUAAUGAACUUUGAAAGUCUCAGAAUUCCUGCUCUUCCUUAUGCAAGACCACAACAUAGACCACAACCAUCUUUUGAGCCACCAAGGAUGCAUUCUAGCUCCAAACCAAAGACCCGAUCUAAUAUAGCUUACAAGGUUCGAAAUUGCAAAAGAACCCAUCCGGAUCGAAUCAUAAGGGAAGUUAUGGAUGGACGGUCACAAAGGCUAAGUUAUCACCUAGCUAAGGAUCAUACUAUCAUACUCAAGUUUGCUAUAUUAGUCUAUAAAUGGAGCUAAGUCAUCCGAAGAGACAAUGGAGAAUCUUUAAGGCCUAUCGGCUCCAAAAUGCAACUCUAAGUCAAUCAUUAGCCAUGCCUAGGCUAAGGCCAAGAACAACUAUCAAUAUCAACAUCAAUAACAAUACGAAAACCACAAGGCAUGAUAUAAUCAACACAACCAAAAUAGGCAUGCUCAAUUCCCUGAAAAACCCAAAAAUACGCCUAAGGCAUGAUUUCUAAUCACUAAACAUGAUACAACUACAGGAACAUCCCAAAUCUAGCUAAACAACAUGCAUUCACAAUCACAAGCUCAAUCUAAAGACCAAUAAGUCAUAGCCUACCUCAAAGUUUGACCGCGCGCAUUUCAAAUUCACAAUUUCAGAGUUUUCCCCUUUUGAACAACCUUCGAUCGUUUCCACACUAGAAAAAAUAAGAUCACAACGUCAAUACAGACGUUUAGACACAAAAAACGAAAUAAUUGAAGAUGGGCUCAAAAUCGAGUCAAAAUGGAAUUAUGGGACCCAUACUGAGAAUUAGAGCUAUCAAAAUGGGCUGGCCCAACCCAAUCUAACCCUAAUGGGCUAGGGAGUUAAAUGGGCUAGGAUGGGCUGGCCCUUUUAAUUAAAGGGCCGAUAAAAUAGCAGCCCAACCCAGCCCUAGGUGGACCACCGGUUAGGACGGGCUAGCCCUUCAACCAAAAAAUGGACAAUAUUGGUCUCUUAGAAAGAGUAUCGAACAUUGAUGUUUGAUUAAUACAACAUCAAUACAUACAAAAAUUCAUCCAUAAAUUACGCAUACUUUGGUGAAUACUUACAUAAUAGCCAAGAUACAACAUUCAUAAGAUUCAUCCAAGCAAAAAACAUAACAUGAUCACUAUUUUCAUAAACGAGACAAUAAAGGAGAAGUGGAAAAUUAAGCGUAAAAACAAAAGUAAAAGAGGUCAAAGAUUCAUAGUUAUAAUGGAGUAAUGUAUUUAGGAUAAUAAGAAAAUUUAGUGGGCUAAUGGCCCUAAAAUGUAAAAGAUAUGCAAAGAAGUUAGACUUGAUUUUAUAUUUAUAUUUUAAAAAUAUUUAUUGACAAAAUCUUAACAAAUAAAUCACUACUUAAAAUAUAUAUAGUAAACAUUUUUAAAAUUCACAGCCCACGGGCCGGCCUCUGAGGCUUGCUGGUUGGGCCUAUGAGGCUAGCGGGCUAAAUGAGGCUGGGCUAAAAAGCCUCGCUCCUAAAUGGGAUGAAAAAAUUAAGCUCAACCCCACUUAAUUCAAGGGUUAGGUUGGACCGGCCUAGCGGGCCAAGAUUAUUUUGACAGCUCUACUGAUAAAUCUGAAAUUGGCUACGUCAAAUGAUCCUAAAUGGAUCAAGGAAAUUUUUCUCCAAAAAUAGGCACCAUCUGAGCCUUAAAACAGAACCAAACAACACAUUCAAUAAUAAGAAUCAAAAGCCACUAUUAAAGUUUACGGAGGGAGGUUUGGGACGAGAAUUUACCUCCUAAACGAGUUCCCCGUGCCUCUCCAAUGGUCCCAACACAUAGCCUCUCAAAUUUCCGACAAAUAGCAAUAAGAAUCACUCAAAUUGGAGCUCUAGAACCCGAGACAUCAACCUUUUAAUUUUGGAAGUUAACCUGAAAAACGGGACUAGUCUUAUUUAAUAGGCCAGUAAAUUGACUUCUGCGGAAGUGUGCGCCAGUACGCGAUCGCGGUGGUCAACAGGGUCAGGUUAACCCCGACCCUUCUUUGCAACUGCGGGACACUAUUCGUGAAUGCAAAGGGUUGAGGUCACUCCUAUCCGCGAUCGCAGAGCCCAUCUCACGAAUGCGGUGACCAAAGCACUUGGUUUUCGCGAAUGCGACACCAGAUUCACAAAUGCAGAGAACAAAGUCUCUGCUCUCCGUAAAUGUGGCGCGAGGUGCGUGAAUGCGAAGAACAAAUGGUGUUGCACCAGCCAACAUUUGGAAAGUGCAAAAUGCCUCAACGGGGGCUCGACAUUCGUUCGGAACUCUAUGUACGCAAAUGGAAGAUUCUAUCCAACCAAUUUCAAUAUUUCGUACUCAGCAAAUAUGUUGAAACUUUCAACCGAGGUCUUCUGGGUGAAAAGUGGGUCCCACUUCCAAACUCCAUUUUAAGCCAAAUUUCAUAAGGUAGCUCGAAAUGAGCUUGGAGGCCUCGAGACCCUAACCAAAGGUUCUUCUAGACCAAACUCGACGUUCUAGAGCUAACAAAGUCAUCAUAAUUGUAUUUGCGGUCAUUUACCUGAAGUUUUGACCGAAGUCAACAAUUUAAACUUCAAAAGCUCCAAAACCCAUAAACUUACAAAAAUAAUCAAAUGAGCGACCAAGUGACCGAACUGUCAGUCCCAACAAGUCAUAGAUGACUUGUGGUUUCUAUAGAAGAUCUAAAUGCCGAAACACCGAAUACCACAAAAUUAAGUAAAUUCAACUAUAAUCUUGUGAUUAAUGAAAUUAUUCAUGUAGGAAUUAUUUUUUAUAUCCAUUGGUAAAUAUGAAUGAAGCCCCAAAGGGUGACAUGGAUAUUGAUAAUGAAGGUCUUAAUUCUUGUAUUAUACCAUGGGGCUUUGAUUUUCGUAAAGGUGUAGACCUCUCAGAUAUAUUUAGUUUUCCUUAAGAGCAACCUGCGAACAACAACAUAAUCCUAGCACUACAAUAGAAAAUGCUUCUCCAAAUCAUCAUCAAAACUUGAGAAUGUUUCAGAAUUACCUUAUGUUAUCUUAAAGAGAAACAAUAUAAUCAUUACACUUGUGCAACCAAACAGUACACUUGUAACAACACUGUGGAAGGUCAACGUAGUUACUCGGUUGUGUAAUUAUUAGGCUGGUAAUUACUACUCUAAUAAUUACACCAAUUUCAAUUACCUGAUGGUUUUCCAAACAUACCCUUAGUUUUCUUUUAGAGCAACUUGUGAAUAACAACAUAAUCCUAGCACUCUAAUAGAAAAUGCUUCUCCAAAUCUUCAUCAAAAUUUGGGAAUGUUUCAGAAUUACCUUAUGUUACUCUUAAAGAGCAACAACACAUUACCACCACCAAUAUUCCUAGAAGUUCAUGAAUAGAUAAGAACUCUUCAAGAAUAACUUAUCCAAUUACCCUUAAUAAGGAUGAUGACUACUCAUUAUCGUAUAGAAAAUAUGUAGUCAUUGUCCUUAUCAAGGGUAAUAUGAUAAGUUAUUCUUGAAAAAUUAUUAUAUGUUGAUGCGCUACUAGGAACAUUGGUGGUGGUGAUGGGGUGUUGUCUUUAAGAAUAAUAUUAGGUAAUCCUAAAAUAUUCUCAGAAUUUUGAUGGUGCUUUGGAGAUGCAUAUUCUAUUCAAGUGGUAGGAAUAUAUAUGUUGUUGUUCACAUGCUGCUCUUGGAGAAGUUUAAUGUUUCUGCCCGAAUCGGAUCUUCUGAGGAACAUAUCAAGAGAGAAUUGGAUUUGGUUAGACAAUGUGUGGUUGGUAAACUCCGACCAUUAUCGUCUCAGUGAAGUAGCUCAUAGGUAUGGGAUACGAACGAUUAAGAGUUCUUGCUUAAAAAAAGGUAUGUAUUAACUAAGAAUGGAAUCUAUCCUGACUUUCAAGUAACGCUUGAUUGAGGGAUGAACCCCGAAUCUUCACACAUUCUUCCAUCACCAUUUGGAAACUUUGAACCUAUUGUUUCAAAUGGAUCACUACAUUUCUUAGAGAAAAAUUAGAAACGGCCUUGUGUGUCCAUAACUCAAAAUAGAUGACCCAAUGACCAUCGCUCGACUAAACACCAUAGUCACCAGGUGCAUAUGAGCUACUAAGGAGUAAACAACAGUAAAUGGAGAACCCUAAAAAGGAAUUAAAUCUAAAAAUUAGAAAGUCCACCAAAAAAAAUAUAUAAACAAUCAAUCAAGGGGGAAAUGGUGAAAAGAUCAAAUAAGGCAUAGACAAUUAAGCAUUUGCAAAAGGAAAAAGCAGAGGUGACAACUACUUGAUAAAUUUUAACUUUGAUAUUAUAUAUCCAUCAAACUAUCAGAUGCAAGACAACUUGUUCUAUCAAUAAUAUAACUUUAUGGGAAUAUAUAAAUUAUUUAUCAGGUCAACAUUAUUAGAAAAUUAAAACAAUCAAAUCUAAUUUACUUAAUUAGUAGUAACUCUAAUGAACCAAAUUUCUCAUCAGAAAGAGACUAUUGACAUCAGUACAAUAUAAACAAAGGAGAAAAAUGACCACAGACAUUUUUUGAUGAAACACAAGGAAUAUACAUGUGAUAUGGUGCUAUUGAUAAAUUAGUUUUAGUUUAUUAAAAUUAAACACUAAUUAAGGCUACCACGUUAUUUUUAAGAGUUAAUUUUAAUAAAAUACUGCGUCAUUUUUUAAUGUAGGUCAUACCAUUUCUGCUAUUUCUUAAGAUAGAAAUGGUUUAAGAAUAUAUAUCUUACCAAAUGUAAAUACUAAAUCCUAUAAAAAUAAAAUGAACCACUCGUUACUGAUAUUUUAAAUUUUUGGAUUGGGAAAGCUGAAUUGUAUAUAUCUCAAUUAUUAAAUGUUGAAUUAACAACUCAUUCUUUAGAAAGAUUAUAUUUUGGAUCUAAGAAAGAUUUAAGUUUAAAGACAUAAUAUUAGUCAAGUAUCUAUUAGAUUAGAUACAUCGACUAAAAAUGAAAUGUUUUUUAAAGUGUGAAUCUUUUAAAGAGAAUGAAGUAUUUGCAAGAGAUGGUUCAUUAAAGCACUAAGGAAUGAAUGAAAGUACAUCAUCAAAUAAAGAAAUGAAAAAUAAAAGAAAGAACUUACAACGUGGUGACUCAUUGAUUCAAUUAUGAAAAGUCCAUAAAAAGGAUUUAUGCUGGAAUUGAAUUCUGUCGUUGUCAUUGUAAUUAACAUCCUCUGCAGUGUUAUGAAUACAUUUCAUCUCAGCCGCAAUAGGUUGAGUUGUGUUUAGAAUGGGUGAAUGAGAGAUUGUUAAAAACAUUAUUUUUAUAGGAC
rnacentral:lncRNA from 1 species